GGGUCUAUAGCUCAGUUGGCUAGAGCGCUUCCUCGACACGGAAGAGGUCAGUGGUUCGAGUCCACUUAGACCCA
rnacentral:tRNA from 2 species